UACUUUCGCGCCCGCUGUGGUGACCGGAAGAAGAAGCUGCUACUGAGGCAUUCUGGGAUACUGGCGGACCCAACAACACUUCUACUGUGAUGGCGACAAACAUCGAGCAGAUUUUCAGGGAUUUUGUAAUGAAUAAGAUUAAAGAAAUCGAAGAUGAAACUGAAGAAAACAGUGUGACAGAUGAGCCGCAGUCUGAACCUGUGACGGAGACGAGAGAAGAUGGACUUGAGGAAGAAAAAAUGAACACACCAACAGAUAAAGUCACGCGUACUGACCUCCAAGACAACCAUGAUAAAGAGGACACCAGCACUAAACACAGGAAGAGUAAAAAGCACAAAAAACACAAAAGCAAAAAGAAGAAAAAGAAGCGCAAAGAAGGAAAAGACAGCAGCUCAGGCACCGAGUCCGACAAAGAGACUCAAGAAAGUGGAAAGAAAAAGAAAAGAAAGAAAAAGAAAAAAAGCAAAGAUGCAGACAAAGUGAAAAGAUCUGGCUCUCGAUCCGAAAGCUCUUCAGCAUCUGGUUCUGAAUCGGAGUCCGAAACGAAACCUUCAAGUGAAAAUACAAAGUCCUCUUCAGCAGGUCAGACGUCAAAGUCCGAGCUCAAAGACUCAUGUGGUGUUGGUAAGCCUCGGGAGUUGCCUGACAUUAUUCCCAAGACGGAGAAUUCGGUCCACAAAAGCACAGAAAAUGAAAGGCCCAAGGAGAAGAAAAGAAGUUCUAGCAGGACAUCUAAAAGUAAGGAGAGCUCCAGAGGAAGACGAACCAGAUCGAGAUCCCCAAAACGACAACGGCGAUCAAAGUCAACCUCCCGCUCUAGAAAUAGCUCCAAAAAGAGGUCUCAUCAACGGAGAGAGAGAAGUAGAUCGAGGUCUAAGAUACGCAACAGUCGGUCCAGGUCUCGUUCUGUCAGAAGAGGCAAGCGUUCAAGAUCCAGGCGAACUAGAUCAAGGUCUGUUGUAAUCUUAAAGAGGAACAGAAGGUCUACAUCAAAAUCUAGGUCUCGCUCGCCAAGGCGUAGAUGCCGUUCUAGGAGUAAGUCUCGAAGCAGAACGCAACCUUCGAAGUCGAGGUCCGUUUCGAAGUCAAGGUCUGAGUUGAAACCGGAAACUGAAUCGGAUCCAGUGGACAAAAGUGAAAGUUCUGAAAUGCAAACAAAUGUGUCUCAAGACACAACUGAGAAUAGAAAAAGUCCAACAGUGGCUGUGAGCUCUGACACCAAGCCGUCUGAAACGGCAUCCAACAUCUCGAAUCCUGGUUUCAACGCAGUUGGUGUUAAAGGAUCUUGGCGACCAGUUCCCUUCUUGGCAGAGCCGUCCAAGUCUUCCCAAAAGUGCAUUACACCCGAGGUGCCUUUGGAAGUGACCGAUGUAUCUGAAGAACCUUCAACGUUCUCAACCGCUGCGCCAAAAGAUUCACAGUGUGCUGCCAACCCUGAGACGAAAGAAACCAAUCCAACUUUAACUUCAGCCGAGACGAACUCGGCCUCGCCAUCCAAAUCUCCCAGUCACAAAAUAUCCUCAAGAUCCAAAGCGGCUGCGCGAUCCGGAUCAAAGUCGCCAUCGAAAAAGAGAAAAUCCAGGUCGUCUUCACGGAAGUCUCGAUCGCCCUCUGAAAGGAAAUCGCACAAGUCUAGAACGAGGAGCAAACGCUCGAAAUCGAGGUCGCCUAAGAAGAAAAGGUCGAGAUCUCGUUCGCACGGCCGUCGGAGGAAAUCUCGAACUCCGGACAGAAGCAGACAGUCGAAGUCGAGAAAAGAGAAAAUCCAGGUCGUCUUCACGGAAGUCUCGAUCGCCCUCUGA
rnacentral:lncRNA from 1 species